CAUUGAGAAACAGCAUCAUCAGAGUAAUCCAAGUCCCUGUUGGAGUCAGUCAGAGCAUUUCCAUAGAGAGCCACUUUGCAUCAGCAGCACCAUGCUCCAGUGCUCUGGGAGAGUUUAUAGUCCUGAGAGUUGAACACUGGAUGACUGACAGCUGUCCUUCAUGACAACAGAAGACACAGAAAUCCUCCUCAUCAAAAACAUGACUUUGAUCUCCGUCCUCAUCUGGACUCUCCUCUGCUGCUGCUUCACAGAGUCCAGAGGCCAGGUCACAGUGACUCAGCCUGGAGCAGUGAGCUCUGCUGUGGGAGGCUCCGUCUCCAUCAGCUGUAGGAGCAGUCAGAGGGUUGAUGAAGAUUGUGGGAGCUGGGGUAGUGACACCUGUUUAUCCUGGUACCAACAGAAAGCUGGAGAAACUCCUAAACUGCUAAUUUACUACACCAAUGAGAGAGCAUCAGGGAUUCCAACUCGUUUUUCAGGCAGUGGAUCAGGGACAGACUUCACUCUGACCAUCAGUGGAGUCCAGGCUGAAGACGCAGCAGUUUACUACUGUCAGGGUGCUAACACUGUCAACAGUCAGUAUGUGUUCACACAGUGAAAAAGCGUCGUACAAAAACCUCCCUCAGUCAGACUGAACAGAAACUGAACUGACUGCUGCAGCUGGAAGCUACUGCAGAGACUGAUACAGUUCACUGAGGACAUACACACACACACACACACACACACACACACACACACACAGUAACUUUAAACAAGGUGAAUAGUAACGAGAGAAGGAUUAAGAAACAAGAAACGCAGCUCUUGCCUUCACUCGUCUUUAUUGAAUGACAUUUUGAACAAUGAAUACUAAAUACUGAUACGACAGACACACAGUUCAACCAGUGCCACCAACACACAGAAAGAGAUGCUGCAGCAUUGAAAAUGGAGGGUUGUAGCUUUGUGUCAGUACAUAUUUCAACCUUAUGUGAGCAUCUCCAGUUGCAUAUUAAAGACAGGACAAAGUGUUUUACCACUAUGAUAAUUAGUUAUUACUAUUUUCAUAUCCGUAUCACCAGCUGGAAACAUAAAAAUAAGAUGUACCCACAGUUCUAGUACUUCCACUGUCAGUACAGUUAGCUCAUUAAAACUGUGAAAUGAUCAAAAUGCCACAAACAGGUUUGGAUGGUGGAAAAGAAAAUGUAAGUAAUGAAGUACAAGAGAAUGGUCUUAUGAACAGUCUGGCCUUGUUUUAUCUCCAAACACAGGCUCACAUUUUGCUGCUGACAUUCAUAAACUGAUUGGAGAGUUCCAGGAGGUAAAAAAUAAAGUUAAAUGAGCCCAAAAGUGGCAUUAAGGAUUUAAAGUCAAAACAUACUCAUUGUUGAAAUAAAUUACAAAUCGCUACAAAUGUUGACAACAUAUUUUAGUAAUUUUGUGUUUUGUAUUCUAACAAAAAAGAGAUUAAUGAAGUAUGUAAAUCCAUUUAAUCAGUUAAUUCUGUCCUUUUGUCAACUCUUUUAUUUGUCUUUGUGGAAAUAGUUCAAAGGAUAAAAAUAGAGAUUUAUGAUAUUCUCCUUAUGCUAAUGAUACUGUGCUUUUUAUAUGUGGUUUUAUUCAAAGAAUUUAUUUAUUUUCUUUAGAUACACCUAAAAGAAUUACAAUAUUACAGUCCUUACUAUUAAGACUGUUCAGUAAUAAGAGAUGAUUGGAUGAUUUAUUACUAAAAUGUUCCUACCUUGUUCCAAAGAUUUAUUAUUGCAGAUCUGUAAAGAUUACAGCAUAGAAUCUGCGUUUGCAGUUUGACUGUGAUUCUGUGUGAUUGUUGGUGACACAUUAUUUUCUUUAUUGACC